rnacentral:rRNA from 1 species
GACGAACCGUGCGAACGUUGUUCGGAAUCACUGGGCUUAAAGGGUCCGUAGGCGGCCAGAAAAGUCGGAUGUGAAAUCCCUCGGCUCAACCGAGGAAUUGCGUCCGAUACUGCCUGGCUCGAGGGAGGUAGAGGCGCGUGGAACUUCGGGUGGAGCGGUGAAAUGCGUUGAGAUCCGAAGGAACUCCGGUGGCGAAGGCGACGCGCUGGGCCUUUCCUGACGCUGAGGGACGAAAGCUAGGGGAGCGAACGGGAUUAGAUACCCGGGUAGU